CAGCCGCCGCGGUAAUACGGAGGGGGCUAGCGUUGUUCGGAAUUACUGGGCGUAAAGCGCACGUAGGCGGCUUGGUAAGUUAGAGGUGAAAGCCCGGAGCUCAACUCCGGAAUUGCCUUUAAGACUGCCGAGCUAGUAGGUGAGAGAGGUAAGUGGAAUUCCGGGUGUAGAGGUGAAAUUCGUAGAUAUUCGGAAGAACACCAGUGGCGAAGGCGGCUUACUGGCUCAUUCUAGACGCUGAGGUGCGGAAGCGUGGGGAGCAAACAGGAUUAGAUACCCGCGUAGUCCCUGUCUCUUAUAC
rnacentral:rRNA from 1 species